UCGGGAAUAUUGCACAAUGGAGGAAACUCUGAUGCAGUGACGCCGCGUGCAGGAAGAAGGUUUUCGGAUUGUAAACUGCUUUAGAUGGGGAAGAAAAAAGACUGUACCCAUAGAAUAAGCUCCGGCUAACUACGUGCCAGCAGCCGCGGUAAUACGUAGGGAGCAAGCGUUAUCCGGAUUUAUUGGGUGUAAAGGGUGCGUAGACGGGAAUUUAAGUUAGUUGUGAAAUCCCUCGGCUUAACUGAGGAACUGCAACUAAAACUGAAUUUCUUGAGUGCGGGAGAGGAAAGUGGAAUUCCUAGUGUAGCGGUGAAAUGCGUAGAUAUUAGGAGGAACACCAGUGGCGAAGGCGACUUUCUGGACCGUAACUGACGUUGAGGCACGAAAGUGUGGGGAGCAA
rnacentral:rRNA from 1 species